rnacentral:rRNA from 1 species
AUUGAACGCUGGCGGCAUGCCUUACACAUGCAAGUCGAACGGCAGCACGGGGGCAACCCUGGUGGCGAGUGGCGAACGGGUGAGUAACAUAUCGGAACGUACCCAAGAGUGGGGGAUAACACAACGAAAGUUGCGCUAAUACCGCAUACGAUCUACCGAUGAAAGUGGGGGAUUCACAAGGACCUCAUGCUCGUGGAGCGGCCGAUAUCUGAUUACCUAGUUGGUGAGGUAAAGGCUCACCAAGGCGACUAUCAGUAGCUGGUCUGAUAGGACAACCAACCACACUGGAACUGACACACGGACCAGACUCCUACGGGAGGUAGCAGUGGGGAAUUUUGGACAAUGGGGGCAACCCUGAUCCAGCAAUGCCGCGUGAGUGAACAAGGCCUUCAGGUUGGAAAGCUCUUUUGUCGGGGAAGAAACGGUGAACUCUAACAUACGUCACUAAUGACGGUACCCGAAGAAUAAUCACCGGCUAACUACGUGCCAGCAGCCGCGGUAAUACGUACGGUGCAACCGUUAAUCGGAAUUACUGGGCGUAAGCGGCGCAGGCGGUUUUGUAAGUCAGCUGUGAAAUCCCCGGGCUCAACCUGGGAAUGGCAGUUGAGACUGCAAGGCUAGAGUGUGUCAGAGGGGGGUAGAAUUCCACGUGUAGCAGUGAAAUGCGUAGAGAUGUGGAGGAAUACCGAUGGCGAAGGCAGCCCCCUGGGAUAACACUGACGCUCAUGCACGAAAGCGUGGGGAGCAAACGGGAUUAGAUACCCUGGUAGUCCACGCCCUAAACGAUGUCAACUAGUUGUCGGGACUUAAUUGUCUUGGUAACGCAGCUAACGCGUGAAGUUGACCGCCUGGGGAGUACGGUCGCAAGAUUAAAACUCAAAGGAAUUGACGGGGACCCGCACAAGCGGUGGAUGAUGUGGAUUAAUUCUAUGCAACGCGAAAAACCUUACCUACCCUUGACAUGGUACGAAUCCUAUAGAGAUAUGGGAGUGCUCGCAAGAGAACGUAUACACAGGUGCUGCAUGGCUGUCGUCAGCUCGUGUCGUGAGAUGUUGGGUUAAGUCCCGCAACGAGCGCAACCCUUGUCAUUAAUUGCCAUCAUUUAGUUGGGCACUUUAAUGAGACUGCCGGUGACAAACCGGAGGAAGGUGGGGAUGACGUCAAGUCCUCAUGGCCCUUAUGGGUAGGGCUUCACACGUCAUACAAUGGUACAUACAGAGGGUCGCCAACCCGCGAGGGGGAGCUAAUCCCAGAAAGUGUAUCGUAGUCCGGAUUGGAGUCUGCAACUCGACUCCAUGAAGUUGGAAUCGCUAGUAAUCGCGGAUCAGCAUGUCGCGGUGAAAACGUUCCCGGGUCU